rnacentral:rRNA from 1 species
AACGUAGGACGCAAGCGUUAUCCGGAGUUACUGGGCGUAAAGAGCGCGCAGGCGGUCGUGCAAGUCGCGUGUGAAAGCCCCCGGCUCAACUGGGGAGGGUCACGCGAUACUGCUCGACUCGAAGGCAGGAGAGGGAAGUGGAAUUCCCGGUGUAGUGGUGAAAUGCGUAGAUAUCCGGAGGAACACCGGUGGCGAAGGCGGCUUCCUGGACCGACACUGACGCUGAGGCGCGAAAGCCAGGGGAGCAAACGGG